UUGUGGACUACAUCUCCUCUGAUGCUUUGCCUUAUGGUCUUACAGCCAUAAGGCAAAGCCUCAGGGGAGAUGUAGUCCACAA